rnacentral:snRNA from 1 species
GUACCCAUGCAGAAGCACAUAUGCAAAACUGGAUCACUACAGAGAAGAUUAGCAGGGCCCUGAGCACGGAUGACAUGCUAAUUCGUGGGGCAUUCAGUAUUCUU